GACGAACGCUGGCGGCGUGCCUAAUACAUGCAAGUAGAACGCUGAAGGGGGAGCUUGCUUCUCCGGAUGAGUUGCGAACGGGUGAGUAACGCGUAGGUAACCUGCCUGGUAGCGGGGGAUAACUAUUGGAAACGAUAGCUAAUACCGCAUAAUAGUAGAUGUUGCAUGACAUUUGCUUAAAAGGUGCAAUUGCACCACUACCAGAUGGACCUGCGUUGUAUUAGCUAGUUGGUGGGGUAACGGCUCACCAAGGCGACGAUACAUAGCCGACCUGAGAGGGGGAGCGGCCACACUGGGACUGAGACACGGCCCAGAAUCCUACGGGAGGCAGCAGUAGGGAAUCUUCGGCAAUGGAGGGAAGUCUGACCGAGCAACGCCGCGUGAGUGAAGAAGGUUGUCGGAUCGUAAAGCUCUGUUGUAAGAGAAGAACGAGUGUGAGAGUGGAAAGUGCACACUGUGACGGUAUCUUAUCAGAAAGGGACGGCUAACUACGUG
rnacentral:rRNA from 1 species